rnacentral:lncRNA from 1 species
UUUGUUUAACCUAAAUUCCUUCGAAGAGGGAAAUGCCUCGAUCGCAGUGGCCUUCUCGGACACCAACCUUUUCUCCCAUUGAUUCACAGUAAUGCUUAGACCCUCCACCAAAUGUUCCUAGCAUCACUUUGAGCCUUCACAGCCUCAACUUCCAAUGACUUGACUUCGGCCUUCAGUGACCAAACUUCCUCCUCGACCAUUACCUUGAAAGCUAUGGCCUCGUCCACCUUUUUAGAGGCCUGAGUAGCCC